rnacentral:rRNA from 1 species
CGGUCGAGCGACGGACGAGAAGCUUGCUUCUCUGAUGUUAGCGGCGGACGGGUGAGUAACACGUGGAUAACCUACCUAUAAGACUGGGAUAACUUCGGGAAACCGGAGCUAAUACCGGAUAAUAUUUUGAACCGCAUGGUUCAAAAGUGAAAGACGGUCUUGCUGUCACUUAUAGAUGGAUCCGCGCUGCAUUAGCUAGUUGGUAAGGUAACGGCUUACCAAGGCAACGAUGCAUAGCCGACCUGAGAGGGUGAUCGGCCACACUGGAACUGAGACACGGUCCAGACUCCUACGGGAGGCAGCAGUAGGGAAUCUUCCGCAAUGGGCGAAAGCCUGACGGAGCAACGCCGCGUGAGUGAUGAAGGUCUUCGGAUCGUAAAACUCUGUUAUUAGGGAAGAACAUAUGUGUAAGUAACUGUGCACAUCUUGACGGUACCUAAUCAGAAAGCCACGGCUAACUACGUGCCAGCAGCCGCGGUAAUACGUAGGUGGCAAGCGUUAUCCGGAAUUAUUGGGCGUAAAGCGCGCGUAGGCGGUUUUUUAAGUCUGAUGUGAAAGCCCACGGCUCAACCGUGGAGGGUCAUUGGAAACUGGAAAACUUGAGUGCAGAAGAGGAAAGUGGAAUUCCAUGUGUAGCGGUGAAAUGCGCAGAGAUAUGGAGGAACACCAGUGGCGAAUGCGACUUUCUGGUCUGUAACUGACGCUGAUGUGCGAAAGCGUGGGGAUCAACAGGAUUAGAUACCCUGGCUAGUCCACGCCGUAAAACGAUGA